GCGCUAGUAGAUGAGCCCAAAUCGGAUUAGCUAGUUGGUGGGGUAAUGGCCCACCAAGGCGACGAUCCGUAGCUGGUCUGAGAGGACGACCAGCCACACUGGGACUGAGACACGGCCCAG
rnacentral:rRNA from 1 species